AACAACCUAGUAUUGAUUUUCAUGCCAAUGUUGCAUUUCUUCUUUUUUCUUUUUUAACAGAAAGAAGAAAAAAGCAGGGUUGGGAACAGGGAAGCACAUGUUAAUAUUUGCUGAAUCCUGCUUGUCUGUGAAGAUGGAUGAGUGACCUGCUUGCCAAAGCAGAGAGAAGCUCUUUGGGGUGAGGAAGAGUUCUGUAGAUGACAAGCUUAAUUCCCCGCCCCCAGUAAAUAUUUUUGGCACAGGCAGAUCAAUACCAAGAGCUCUUAGUAACUGCCACGGGACACCCGACCAAAGCAAGAAAGCGUGAAAAAGAGACAUUCAGAGAGAGAGAGAGAGA